rnacentral:rRNA from 1 species
AGAGUUUGAUCAUGGCUCAGAACGUACGCUGGCGGCACGCCUAACACAUGCAAGUCGAACGAAGUAGCAAUACUUAGUGGCAGACGGGUGAGUAACAUGUAGGUAUCUGCCCUUUGGCCUGGAAUAACACGAGGAAACUUGUGCUAAUACUGGAUAAGUCUUUACGGAGAAAGCUUUAUGCACCAUUGGAUGAGCCUGCACUUGAUUAGUUUGUUGGUGGGGUAAUGGCCUACCAAGACUUUGAUCAAUAGCUGAUUUGAGAGGAUGAUCAGCCACAUUGGGACUGAGACACGGCCCAAACUCCUACGGGAGGCAGCAGUGGGGAAUCUUGCACAAUGGAGGAAACUCUGAUGCAGCGAUGCCGCGUGAGUGAAGAAGGCCUUUGGGUUGUAAAGCUCUUUCGUCGGGGAAGAAAAUGACUGUACCCGAAUAAGAAGGUCCGGCUAACUUCGUGCCAGCAGCCGCGGUAAUACGAAGGGACCUAGCGUAGUUCGGAAUUACUGGGCUUAAAGAGUUCGUAGGUGGUUGAAAAAGUUGGUGGUGAAAUCCCAGAGCUUAACUCUGGAACUGCCAUCAAAACUUUUCAGCUAGAGUUUGAUAGAGGAAAGCAGAAUUUCUAGUGUAGAGGUGAAAUUCGUAGAUAUUAGAAAGAAUACCGAUUGCGAAGGCAGCUUUCUGGAUCAAUACUGACACUGAGGAACGAAAGCAUGGGUAGCGAAGAGGAUUAGAUACCCUCGUAGUCCAUGCCGUAAACGAUGUGUGUUAGACGUUGGAAAUUUAUUUUCAGUGUCGCAGCGAAAGCGAUAAACACACCGCCUGGGGAGUACGACCGCAAGGUUAAAACUCAAAUGAAUUGACGGGGACCCGCACAAGUAGUGGAGCAUGUGGUUUAAUUCGAAGAUACGCGCAGAACCUUACCAACACUUGACAUGUUCGUCGCGACUUUAAGAGAUUAAAGUUUUCGGUUCGGCCGGACGAAACACAGGUGCUGCAUGGCUGUCGUCAGCUCGUGUCGUGAGAUGUUGGGUUAAGUCCCGCAACGAGCGCAACCCUCACUUUUAGUUGCCAUCAUUAAGUUGGGCACUCUGAAAGAACUGCCAGUGAUAAGCUGGAGGAAGGUGGGGAUGACGUCAAGUCCUCAUGGCCCUUACGUGUUGGGCUACACACGUGCUACAAUGGUAUCUACAACAGGAAGCAAGACGGCGACGUUAAGCAAAUCCUUAAAAGAUACCUCAGUUCGGAUUGUACUCUGCAACUCGAGUACAUGAAGCUGGAAUUACUAGUAAUCGUGGAUCAGCGUGCCACGGUGAAUGCGUUCCCGGGUCUUGUACACACCGCCCGUCACACCAUGGGAGUUGGUUCUACCUUAAGGCAAGGUUUAAAACCCUUGACCACGGUAUAGUCAGCGACUGGGGUGAAGUCAUAACAAGGUAACCGUA